UACGUAGGUGGCAAGCGUUGUCCGGAUUUACUGGGCGUAAAGGGUGCGUAGGUGGAUGUUUAAGUCAGAUGUGAAACCCCUGGGCUCAACUCAGGGACUGCAUUUGAUACUGCACAACUUGAAUCCGGGAGAGGGUGGCGGAAUUCCAGGUGUAGCGGUGAAAUGCGUAGAGAUCUGGAGGAAUACCGGUGGCGAAGGCGGCCCCCUGGACAAAGACUGACGCUCAGGUGCGAAAGCGUGGGGAGCAAAC
rnacentral:rRNA from 1 species